rnacentral:rRNA from 1 species
UACGAAGGGGGCUAGCGUUGUUCGGAAUUACUGGGCGUAAAGCGUGCGCAGGCGGCUUCUCAAGUCAGGGGUGAAAGCCCAGAGCUCAACUCUGGAAUUGCCUUUGAGACUGAGAGGCUUGAGUACGGGAGAGGUGAGUGGAAUUCCCAGUGUAGAGGUGAAAUUCGUAGAUAUUGGGAAGAACACCAGUGGCGAAGGCGGCUGCACUGGACCGUAACUGACGCUCAUGCACGCAGCG